CUUCGCCUUUCUGCAGGUACUAAACCAACUUUUAUUCAUGUUGCUUUCUAAAUAUAUUGUGUCUAUGUAUCUACAUAUAAAUUAUGUUUACUAAGCAUGUACUGUUUUCGAGUACCAGGUUAUAUACUUAUAGAGUGUGGAUACAUGUUUGCAAUAGCUCCAGAUCAAUUGCAAAUGAACCUUGUUGAUAUCGUGAUUAUUCACGGCAUUGUCUUAUUGGAUGAUCUUGACAAGGAGCUCAUCACUUAUGCCAUUAGAGUUCGCUAAUGAUAUUGUCUGAUGAAGAGCUAGAAACAUAUCUAAAGGUGAUUGCAGUAAUAUCCAUGGGAACAGAAGUUAUUGAACAUGACUUGUUAAAUAUCAGAGAGCUAUAUGAUCAUGUGUUGGCCCUACUAUAUGACUAUUUAAGAAGCAAGAUGAACACUAUCACCCCAAUUCUAACAGCACUGGUGGGUGAAUCAGUUGGUGCCAUAUUGUGCAUGGUGGAAGUUUGGUAAACUUGGCCAAGCAACCUGGUAGCAUAAUUUAAAUACU